rnacentral:rRNA from 1 species
AUUGAACGCUGGCGGCAGGCCUAACACAUGCAAGUCGAACGAGUGGCGGACGGGUGAGUAAUGUCUGGGAAACUGCCUGAUGGAGGGGGAUAACUACUGGAAACGGUAGCUAAUACCGCAUACCAUCGGAUGUGCCCAGAUGGGAUUAGCUAGUAGGUGGGGUAAAGGCUCACCUAGGCGACGAUCCCUAGCUGGUCUGAGAGGAUGACCGGCCAACCGGAACCGAGGAAACGUUCCAGCUCCCUACGGAGGGCGGCGGUGGGAAAUAUGGCACAAUGGGCGCAGGCCGGAGGCGGCCAUCCCGGGUGUAUGAGGAGGGCCUUCGGUUUGUAAAGUACUUUCAGCGGGGAGGCGUUACCCGCAGAAGAAGCACCGGCUAACUCCGUGCCAGCAGCCGCGGUAAUU